AUUGAACGCUGGCGGCAGGCCUAACACAUGCAAGUCGAACGAGUGGCGGACGGGUGAGUAAUGUCUGGGAAACUGCCUGAUGGAGGGGGAUACCUACUGGAAACGGUAGCUCAUACCGCAUACCAUCGGAUGUGCCCAGAUGGGAUUAGCUAGUAGGUGGGGCACCGGCUCACCUAGGCGACGAUCCCUAGCUGGUCUGCGAGGAGGACCAGCCACACUGGAACUGAGACACGGUCCAGAAUCCUACGGGAGGCAGCAGGGGGGAAUAUGGCACAAUGGGCGCAAGCCUGAUGUAGCCAUGCCGCGUGUAUGAAGAAGGCCGUCGGGUUGUAAAGUACUUUCAGCGGGGAGGCGUUACCCGCAGAAGAAGCACCGGCUAACUCCGUGCCAGCCGCCGGGGUAAUAC
rnacentral:rRNA from 1 species